CGCGUAGGCGGCUCUGUAAGUCUGGAGUGAAAGUCCUCUUUUCAAGGGAGGAAUUGCUUUGGAAACUAUAGAGCUUGAGUGCAGGAGAGGUUAUCGGAAUUCCCGGUGUAGCGGUGAAAUGCGUAGAUAUCGGGAGGAACAUCGGUGGCGAAGGCGGGUAACUGGACUGCAACUGACGCUGAGGCGCGAAAGUGUGGGGAGCAAACA
rnacentral:rRNA from 1 species